UGGGGAAUAUUGGACAAUGGGCGAAAGCCUGAUCCAGCCAUGCCGCGUGUGUGAAGAAGGUCUUCGGAUUGUAAAGCACUUUAAGUUGGGAGGAAGGGCAUUAACCUAAUACGUUAGUGUUUUGACGUUACCGACAGAAUAAGCACCGGCUAACUCUGUGCCAGCAGCCGCGGUAAUACAGAGGGUGCAAGCGUUAAUCGGAAUUACUGGGCGUAAAGCGCGCGUAGGUGGUUUGUUAAGUUGGAUGUGAAAUCCCCGGGCUCAACCUGGGAAGUGCAUUCAAAACUGACUGACUAGAGUAUGGUAGAGGGUGGUGGAAUUUCCUGUGUAGCGGUGAAAUGCGUAGAUAUAGGAAGGAACACCAGUGGCGAAGGCGACCACCUGGACUAAUACUGACACUGAGGUGCGAAAGCGUGGGGAGCAAACA
rnacentral:rRNA from 1 species